rnacentral:rRNA from 1 species
CGGCGAACGGGUGAGGAACACGUGAAGAAUCUGCCCUCCACUUUGGGAUAACACCGGGAAACCGGUGCUAAUACCGAAUAUUGAAACAUAAGUGGCAUCACUGAGUUUUGAAAGAAUUUCGGUGGAGGAUGACUUCGCGGCCUAUCAGCUAGUUGGUGAGGUAAUGGCUCACCAAGGCAACGACGGGUAGCCGGCCUGAGAGGGCGACCGGCCACACUGGGACUGAGACACGGCCCAGACUCCUACGGGAGGCAGCAGUGGGGAAUAUUGGGCAAUGGAGGAAACUCUGACCCAGCGACGCCGCGUGCGGGAUGAAGGCCUUCGGGUUGUAAACCGCUUUCAGUAGGGAAGAAGCGAAAGUGACGGUACCUACAAAAGAAGCACCGGCUAACUAUGUGCCAGCAGCCGCGGUAAUACAUAGGGUGCAAGCGUUGUCCGGAAUUAUUGGGCGUAAAGAGCUCGUAGGUCGUUUGUUACGUCGGAUGUGAAAACCUGAGGCU